rnacentral:rRNA from 1 species
GGGGAAUAUUGCACAAUGGGGGAAACCCUGAUGCAGCGACGCCGCGUGAGUGAAGAAGUAUUUCGGUACGUAAAGCUCUAUCAGCAGGGAAGAAAAUGACGGUACCUGACUAAGAAGCCCCGGCUAACUACGUGCCAGCAGCCGCGGUAAUACGUAGGGGGCAAGCGUUAUCCGGAUUUACUGGGUGUAAAGGGAGCGUAGGUGGCAAGUCAAGUCAGAUGUGAAAGCCCGGGGCUCAACUCCGGGAUUGCAUUUGAAACUGGUUUGCUAGAGUGCAGGAGAGGUAAGUGGAAUUCCUAGUGUAGCGGUGAAAUGCGUAGAUAUUAGGAGGAACACCAGUGGCGAAGGCGGCUUACUGGACUGUAACUGACACUGAGGCUCGAAAGCGUGGGGAGCAAAC